CGACCCGGCCCGUGGAGCCGGCGCGGGCGGGCUGCUGAGGUGGCUGUCGCCGGCUCCGAGCUGCGGCUUCCCGGGCCGAGCCCCCGAUGGAGGCCGAGGCCGCGGACGCUCCCCCGGGUGGGGUCGAGUCGGCGCUCAGCUGCUUCUCUUUCAACCAGGACUGCACGUCCCUAGCAAUUGGAACUAAAGCCGGGUAUAAGCUGUUUUCUCUGAGUUCUGUGGAGCAGCUGGAUCAAGUCCACGGAAGCAAUGAAAUCCCGGACGUCUACAUCGUGGAGCGCCUCUUCUCCAGCAGCCUGGUGGUGGUAGUCAGUCACACAAAACCACGGCAAAUGAACGUGUAUCACUUCAAGAAAGGCACAGAGAUCUGUAAUUACAGCUACUCCAGCAACAUCUUGUCCAUAAGGCUGAACCGGCAGAGGCUGCUGGUUUGCCUAGAAGAGUCCAUUUAUAUUCACAACAUUAAAGACAUGAAGCUGUUGAAGACCCUCCUGGAUAUUCCUGCAAACCCAACAGGUCUAUGUGCUCUCUCUAUCAACCAUUCCAAUUCUUACUUGGCCUAUCCUGGAAGCCUGACUUCAGGGGAGAUUGUGCUUUAUGAUGGAAACUCCCUGAAAACAGUCUGCACUAUUGCUGCCCACGAGGGGACACUGGCUGCCAUCACCUUCAAUGCCUCGGGCUCCAAACUAGCAAGUGCGUCUGAAAAAGGCACAGUCAUCCGGGUGUUCUCUGUCCCUGACGGGCAAAAGCUCUAUGAGUUCCGGAGAGGGAUGAAAAGGUAUGUGACAAUCAGCUCUCUAGUGUUCAGUAUGGACUCACAAUUCCUCUGCGCCUCCAGUAACACCGAGACGGUACACAUCUUCAAGCUGGAGCAGGUCACCAACAGUCGACCAGAAGAGACUUCGACCUGGAGUGGCUACAUGGGAAAGAUGUUCAUGGCUGCUACCAACUACCUCCCAACCCAGGUGUCCGACAUGAUGCAUCAGGACCGGGCCUUUGCCACCGCACGCUUGAACUUCUCCGGGCAGAGGAACAUCUGUACCCUCUCAACGAUCCAGAAGUUGCCACGGCUGCUAGUUGCAUCAUCCAAUGGACACCUUUAUAUCUACAAUUUGGAUCCUCAGGAUGGAGGAGAGUGUGUCUUAAUCAAAACCCACAGCUUGCUUGGCUCAGGAACAACAGAAGAGAAUAAAGAAAACGACCUCAGACCUUCCUUACCUCAGUCUUAUGCAGCAACCGUAGCCAGACCAAGUGCAUCUUCAGCCUCCACAGUGCCAGGUUAUUCCGAGGACGGCGGGGCGCUGCGAGGAGAAGUUAUUCCUGAACAUGAGUUUGCGACGGGACCAGUGUGUCUUGAUGAUGAGAAUGAGUUUCCUCCUGUGAGCAUCAGGAACCCGUAACCGGGCGGCUCAGUCUGUGUGCUUAGAAGGAAACCUUCGCCUCAUACGAGAGGCGGAGUCCCUUUCCCUGUUUUCUAGUCUGUACCAACUAAUUCUCUGCUCUGGUAUUUGGAAAGCCCUAGGAUAGUUGUUGUACUGUGUGCUUUGAAUCCUACAGAGUAGCCUUUAGGUGUCGAGCUAAACCCUGAUGGCAUCAGAGUCACUAAUCCAGGGAGUCUUGGUGACCUCCCUCCAGCCAGAGGCCUGGAAUCUCUUAUUUUGCUCCUGUGGCAUUGACUUUGCUGCCUAGAAGAUAAUCUUGUGCCGUGGAAAUCAGAAGGGCAAAACGAAGCAGUCAUGAUGAGAAGCACACCUCAGAAAUCAGGACAUCCCCCUAUCAGGUGGUUUUGGAGAAAACAAGGAAGGUGGAAGAAUGGAGUGCAAUUGUGUGAGCAGAAAGGGGGGCAGGAAUCCCGGGUGCUGCACUGCUUAAACCACAGGACCUGGUUAACUCCUCACCAAGCUUCCCACGACCCUGGUUGCCAGUGGGCGUGGGAGACAUUGUAUACACAUUAUGCUAUUUAAAAUAUGUUCAAACCAUAGUGUAAAUGCUAAUUAACCAUAUUGGUAUAUAACCAGAAUUUUAUAUUAAAAGGGGCCUCCUUUUUAAAUAUAUGCUGUGUAAAAAAUGUACUUAUAGGAACAUCUCUUUGAAUUGUAUUUCUUGUAUAUUACAUACUUAGAGAAACUAUUUUAGCCAGGCAAAGUCUUUUUUGGCUGUGACUGGAAUAAAUCAUUUAUUACUGGGAGUCCCAUUUUGGACACUAAUAAUAAAAUCAUGGCAAUGCA